UACGUAGGGUGCGAGCGUUGUCCGGAAUUACUGGGCGUAAAGAGCUCGUAGGUGGUUUGUCGCGUUGUCCGUGAAAACUCACAACUCAAUUGUGGGCGUGCGGGCGAUACGGGCAGACUGGAGUACUGCAGGGGAGACUGGAAUUCCUGGUGGUAGCGGUGGAAUGCGCAGAUAUCAGGAGGAACACCGGUGGCGAAGGCGGGUCUCUGGGCAGUGAACUGACGCUGGAGGAGCGAAAGCGUGGGGAGCGAACAGG
rnacentral:rRNA from 1 species